rnacentral:rRNA from 1 species
GAUGAACGCUGGCGGCGUGCUUAACACAUGCAAGUCGAACGGAAAGGCCAGUGCUUGCACUGGUACUCGAGUGGCGAACGGGUGAGUAACACGUGGGUGAUCUGCCCUGCACUUCGGGAUAAGCCUGGGAAACUGGGGCUAAUACCGGAUAGGACAAUGGUUUGGAUGCCGUUGUGGAAAGUUUUUUCGGUGUGGGAUGAGCUCGCGGCCUAUCAGCUUGUUGGUGGGGUAAUGGCCUACCAAGGCGUCGACGGGUAGCCGGCCUGAGAGGGUGUACGGCGACAUUGGGACUGAGAGACGGCCCAGAGUCCUACGGGAGGCAGCAGUGGGGAAUAUUGCACAAUGGGCGCAAGCCUGAUGCAGCGCCGCCGCGUGGGGGAUGACGGCCUUCGGGUUGUAAACUCCUUUCGCUAGGGACGAAGCGUAUUUGUGACGGUACCUGGAGAAGAAGCACCGGCUAACUACGUG